AGUUUUGCAUUUCCAAUAGGCAUGCCAGACAAGUCAAAGCAAAUGCUGGAAAUGCUCAGCAAAGCAAAAAGCAUUUUGUGGAGGGAAGAAAUGUUGACAUUUCACAUCGGUGAAUCUGUAUCGGGAGUACAAUGUUGUUGCUGUGAGAACUUGUAGGUAGCUCUAAAGAACAAGAGUAUUGGCCCAAGUGUGAAGAAAAAUGAACAGGAAGAUCCAUAAUUAUUCUAAAAUUGGAAGAUAUUCAAUAAGUAGAGGAUGUUGCAGGAUCCUUGCAAGUCUGUACACUUGACAACUCAGCAUCACUUCACAGAAUAACAAAAGUUGCUGUCACAGAUGGAGGACAUUCAGCCCAAGUGUCAACAACAGAACUGUGGUAACAAAUCUGACUCCCACUGCUUGAUCUGUAGCCUGCAACAUACUCAGAUGUAAUGAGGAUUCCAGCCUCCUUCAUGCUUUCACACAAUUGUCCCUUGGAAAUGGUACUCCUUUUCCAGUUCCUUGAAUUAUAAGGUAGUUGAUGAGCCAAGUUGAUGAAUGAACAUUGAUUUCUUGAUCUUCUGGUGAUCAGCAGCACAACAUCAAAGAGUCCAUUGUCUACAUGGAAAGGACUCUCUUGCACACCUUUUUCUAUGAAAACUCUCACUCUGCACAGAGCUUAUGAAUAACAUCACAUCAAGCCUGCAAGUCGCUGAAGAUCCCUUUUAAGCGGCAACUAUUUGGUAUUGUGGACAGUGAGAUGGGGACAGCAUCAAGUCAGUUUUCUACAAAGAUUGAUAUCACUAACUGUCCAAUCUCCAUGCUUCCAAUGUGUAUGUAUGCUACUGUCAUCCCAAACUCUGAGAUAUGUGAAUGAAAUUCUGAGCAAAUUGAUGGGUGGCAUAAUAAAAACCAAACUAUGUAGCCCAACUUUGCAGCCAUUGAACAACUGUAGAAGAAUUAGAAACAAGAGAAAUCUGCAGAAGUUGGAAAUCCAAGCCAAUGCACACAAAAUACUGGAGGAACUUAACAGGCCAGGCAGCAUCUAUGGAGAAGAGUAAAUAUUUGAUGUUGUGGGCCGAGACCCGUCAUCUGUCUUGGGAUGAAGGAUCUCAGCCUGCAAUUUCGACUGUUGACAGAAAGACCCAGCUAACAUAAAGUUGGGGUUGUUGUGGAUAGUCUAGAGGGUUGUCGAAGGUUACAGUGUGACAUCGAUAGGAUGCAGAACUGAUGCACCAUCAAUAACUCUUGGAGACGGAAGUGAAUGUUAGGCUUUUAUUAGCAGCAAAAAGGGACCACAACAUCUCGGAGACUGAGGGAGGAGCAGUGCCCCAAUCGCCUUUAUACAGGGGUCUGUGGGAGGAGCCACAGGAGCAGUCAGCAGAGGGGCAUGUCCAGACAGGUAUACAUAGUUUACCACAAGAACUAGGCUGAGAAGUGGCAGAUGGAGUUCAACCCAAAUAAGUGUGAAGUGGUUCUUUUCAGUAGGUCAAUUUUGAAAACAGAAUGUAAUCUUAAUGGUAAGACUCUUGGCAGUGUGGAGAAUCAAUGAGAUCUUGGGGUCCAUGUCCUUAGGACACACAAAGCUGCUGUGCAGGUUGACAGUGUUGUUAGAAGGCAUAUGGUGUGUUGGCCUUAUCAACCAUGAGAUUGAGUUCAGGAGCCAUGAGGUAAUGUUACAGUUAUAGAAGACCUUAGUUAGACCCCACUUGGAGAACUGUGUUCAGUUCUGGUCACCUCAUUACACUAAGGAUGUGGAUACUAUAGGGAGAGUGCAGAGGAGAUUUACAAGGAUGUUGCCUGGAUUGGAGAGCAUACCUUAUGGCUAGGUUGAAUGAACUUGGCCUUUUCUCCUUGGAACGACGGAGGAUGAGAGGUGACCAGAUAAAGGUGUAUAAGAUGACGAGAGGCAUUAAUUGUGUGGAUAGCCAGAGUCUUUUUCCCAGGGCUGAAAUGGCUAACAAGAAGACUCAUAGUUUUAAGGUGAUCGGAAGAAAAUACAAUGGGGAUGUCAGAGGUAAGUUUUUCACACACAGAGUGGUGGGUACAUGGAGUGCACUGUCAGUGAAAGUAGUAGAGGCUGAUACAAUAGGGUCUUUUAAGAGACUGUUAGGUACACAGAGUUUAGAAAAAUAGAGUGCUAUGCAGUAGCAAAAUUUUAGGUAAUUUCUAGAAUAGGUCACAUGGUCAGCACAACAUUGUGGGUUGAAGUGCUGUGGAAUUCUAUGUUCUAUCCCAAACAAAAAAACAGUUCACUCACAUUCAAAACUGUGCAAGCCCGUGCUUUACCACAGAGCUGCUGCAUUGAUUAUACAACAAAUGGUGCCCCCCCCAAUUAUUACAGGACUAGCAUGGAACCAGUCACUAACAAAUAAAAGGUUGUGAAAAAUAUAAGUUGGGUCUUUAAAAAAAAUGAAGGACAUUUAUUUAUAAUUGUUAGAUUGAAAUCUAUCUAUUCAGAGGUAUGUGCAGUAUAUUUAAAGGAUAUGAAUUAAAAAGGCACAAAGUGCACCAUUGACAAAUUGAGUAACA